rnacentral:misc_RNA from 1 species
GAUGAAGAACGUAGCGAAAUGCGAUACUUGGUGUGAAUUGCAGAAUCCCGUGAACCAUCGAGUCUUUGAACGCAAGUUGCGCCCGAAGCCAUUAGGCCGAGGGCACGCCUGCCUGGGCGUCACACGUCGUUGCCCCCCCAUCUACUCCUUCGGGAUUGCGGGGGGCGGAUGAUGGCCUCCCGUGCGCCUCGUCGCGCGGUUGGCAUAAAUGCCAAGUCCUCGGCGACGCACGCCACGACAAUCGGUGGUUGCGAAACCUCGGUUGCCCGUCGUGUGCGGUCGUCGCGCAUUGAGGGCUCGAAAAAAUUGCCGGGCUCCGGCUCGGCUUUCAACGCGACCCCAGGUCAGGCGGGGUUACCCGCUGAAUUUAAGCAUAUCAAUAAGCGGAGGA